CAUCGCGUAUCGACACCGCGCGCCUCGUAAUGACCACCGAGACAAGUUUAAGAUACUGACUCCACCAGACUCGGUGCGAACGAUGUAAUCGUCAAGUGCCGUUGUUUUAUUGCCUGUUGUUGUUGUUGCUGUUGUUGUUGUUGUAACUGUAACUCUCUUGUGCGCGGAUGUACUGUCCUACGACAGAGAUCGCAGAGUUCCCGUGAACGUGAAGAGGAGGAUCUUGGUCUCUUGUCCCGGGGAGAGAAGAAAACGUCCUCGUAAGAAAUCGUCGCGGAAGAUUUUCCGUAGGGGGGAUCCUAAUCCUCCUGAACUGCGUGGUGCGGCUACGACAGGCCGAAAGGAUUUCAUGUUCACGAAUUUCAGUAAACCAGGUAACGAUGCGCCAUACCCACCAGGCAUCGGCGCGUCGAUUUUCAGAUUUUCAAUACGCGCGACACCCUCGCGUCGUUAACCACUCGUCGCGAGGACGCACGUUCGAUUUGCGCGCUCGGCCUUCCUCGCGGCCUGGCUGCACGCGGCUGCUGUGCACGCUUAGAGGGGAGGAUACGCGCCUAUUCUGCACCUCGAAAACAGCCUAUCUACCAGACCUGCCUGACCCAUCGAUCGCGAGAUCUAGAGGCAUGCGUCGCGUGUUCCUCCCUCCCUCCCUCUCUCUUCCUCCCUUCAAGGGACUGAGACGCGAACAGAAUAGGCCGAGAAACCAGCACCGAACGUGAGACGGAUUUAUACCACGCUAAAGAACGGCGAGGACGCGGUUGUUGUAGGCCACAAUCCUCGAUGAAACUGUAGCUACGAAAUCGGUUUCGUCGAUUUCGAUUCUGUUUUUUUAUUAUCGAGCGAGCUUGAUAAUAGGAGGAUUUCCUUUAAGGAAGGAAACGCAUCGUUUUUCGCAUCGAUUGAUAGUGGAAAAUAUGUCGGAAUUUCGGCGCAGAGGGAAAUUCUACACGGGAAUUUCAAUAAUAUACAGUGUAAACUAGACUGGCGUUUAUUGGUUUGAUCCAUCCGAUUGAAACGUAAACUAAUCCUGGCGCGAACAAAAAUACGGGGUGGGGAGGGGUUGUCAAUUUUCGAGGACCGAAAUACGCGCGUAAUUUCUGACCGCUGCAAUCGUGCGGCGGUUCCAUUGUUUCGGAUUGUAAAAUGAGAUAAAUCAUAUUCUUUCGCACCCUAAAUGGGGAAUCCAUGAAACGAGAGUAGAUUUAUCAGAGGUGAAACGUUUCGACGUUUCGCACUCGCAAAGACUGACUCUUGCUCAAUUAAAUGUUGAAAAGUGUAUAUAUAAAAGUCUAUAUAUUUUUUUAUACAUUCGUAUCGUAUAAAAUAUUUAGAGCGACGAGCAGAAGAGAGAAAUUAAUAAAGAAUUUCUUCACAAGUGAAAAAUUGUGUAAUAUUAACUACGCGAUAUUCGCGUAUUUCGCGUUAUACAUCGUGAAUUGAGAGAACUUUGUUUUUUCCUUCAAUUUAAGAUUCAUAAUUAAAUAGAUUCAUAAUGCACGACGAAUAAAAUAAAAGCUCAUUAUCUUAAGUAAAAUUCCAAUUUUAGUUACGUAACGUAAUAAAUAUUGAAAACGUAGCAUUUUUUUUUUUUUUUACGUACGAUACGAUACGGAUUGAAGAAAAAAAGAAGGAAAAAUAAAGCGAGGGGAAAAUAUAUUCGUUUCCUCGGAAUUCAGAGAUACGAAAUUUCUAGAAAUUCGUAUGUUUGAACUGCAUAAAACGUUUUUCGAUUCACGAACGAAAUAUUUCUUAAGAUGUAAUUUAAAAGCAACGUCCUGUGGGACAGUCUUUUAUAAAACUUUGCAAUGUAAAUUUUUUUUAGGAGUAAACCAGUCAUGUUCCGCACUUGAAAAAUGGAAUUUAAAAAAGAAAAAAAGAAGAGAGAGAAAGAGACACAAAAAAAAAAGAGAAAAAAGAAGGAGGAAAAUUUAUAAGUAGAGGUUUGAAUAAAAGAGGCGAACCAAGUGCAACAUUAGAAUUUUCACGGUAUUAUUUAUGCAAUAUUUCUUCGGUAACAUUCUUUCCGUAUGCAAACACAAAACAUCGUAACUCCUUAGACGGUACAUUCCGGUGGACAAAUAUUGCAACAGCGAUAUAUCAAGAUUAAUUUUUAAUCUGCCGCGAUGAGCGGUGGGAAAAGGAUUCAUAAUUUAUCAUGCGCGUACAGCAGGCUGAUACAUCGAGUUACGCAUAGAUUAAGAUAAAAAGCAUAAGGAAAAAAAAAAAAAAAAAUUGGAAAAUAUUAUUCUAGAAGAACGAAAAAAAAAAAAAAAAGAAAAAAUGUUACAAAACUAACGAACCGUUAUCGUUCAUUUCAUGCUUCGAUGGUUUAAGCAGCGUGCACGUUUAAAACUAGCUUAAAAAGAGAUUCGAGCAUAAAUCGAUGCGUUUACACUCGAUCGUUUCUGUCUCGAACGACAAGGGAUAACGGAAAGCAAAUAAUACUCUUGUCUACUCUUUUUUCUCCCGUUUCUCGAAUGCCUAUUCUAUCCUCGUAACCGGUAUGACGCAUCGAUCGACGGUACGAUCCAUCGAUCGCGCGAAAUAUCAUCCGAGAGGGAGGAAAAUUCGUUCGUAAUACACGUAA